AAUAAUGUAGGGGAUUUACAUUUUUCUAAUAUGUGGAGACUUUUAUUUUGAUGUUUGUCGUGGGCGCCGCCAUUUUUUAGGUUUUGAGGAGUUGCGCGGAGAGAGCGGAGAAGAGCAGCGGUGAGCUGAAAUUGAAUGUUGAUCUCGGGUAGUCAAUCGUGGAAAAAAGUCCCGUUUAGACUUGCGACAUACAUAAGAGCUGCGUGACGUUGCUUCUGAGUCUUCGUGUAUAUGAACAAGUUUAACGAAGUAAGCGUUAAAACGAGUUUUCUGCCGUGUUCAUGCAUGAAGCUGGGCAAAAGGCCUGUUAGUUUCAUUAAGUCUCAGUCACGUAGGAGUUAAACAGUCUCGUGUUUUAUUUGCUUCAAACAGUUUUUGUUUCAUUUGUUCAAACGAACUUGAAACAGUGAGUGCUGUUACUGAUCGUGUGAAUUAAAAGGUUCGCUGAGUCAUCGGAUAGGGUCGUGCGUUGUUUGUCUUCUCAUUGUGCCUCCAUCAGCUGGGAUUGCGGCCUCGUUGAAUCAAGCUGCCGUCGUCAGGAUCGCGAGGACAAUCGCUGAGGGUUAGUGAGUGAAGAAACAGUACCCUGCCAUCCAUUGGACAUCUUUCAGCACCUCAUUCACGAACCAAGAGUGGUGAUUAAAAAUUAUGUUCCUCUUUUCCUUCUGAAAACUGGAAUACAUCUCAGGAGGUGUGGUUCGCUGAUCUAAGCUGGUCUAAUCUGGUUUAGCUGGUUUCCUGGUCUUAAACCAUCAUCAAAGACCAGACUGACCAGCUUGUCCAGGCGAGUACACCUUCUAUAAGUAAUCAACAGUUGAGGAAAAGACAGGUAUCAUGAUGUGAUUUGAUUUAAGGAGCACGUGCUCGUGAAUGAAUGUGACCCAGAGAGAUGCGGCGCUGCAGGCAGAUGUCUGUGGUGUUGAAGUGUUGCGUUGUCCUCCCGUGUGACGCUUCAGUUAACACACACUGCAGAGAAACAGACGCUCACAGAUGGAGGAGUGUGAGGAGAGGAAGGGACAUCAUUUUGGAGGGAAAAGAACAGCAAAUAUAACAAGAACAUUCAACAGAUUUCUACAGGAGAUGAUUGGUUGCUGGAGUCUAUGAAAGCGCACAAUCAACCCAGCAGUGAAUGCAGUCGAGCCUGGACUUGUUGAUUAACCGGAGGGCCGGAGCCGCAGGGUUGGACACAUUACAUUGGAGUCGUGUGGAUUAAAGCUGAGCUGAUCUGAUGCGAGGCCGGUCCUACAGAUGGAAGAGAGCACUGUAUUGGCUUUAUCAUCACAAACCACCGGCUACACCGCAUUCAGAUCAAUCCACUGUACUCAGUGAUCUCAACAGAGAUACAACACACCCAGAGGAAAGGCUUAUUGCUCAGAGAUACGCUUUCAUGCAGAAGAGAGCAGCUCAGGUCAUUUGACCUUGGGAGAAUUUCAAAUAGCUGUUUACUAUUGUAAUAUAAUAGAAAAUGUAAUUUAUUCCUGUGAUCAAAGCUGAAUUUUCAGCAUCAUUAAUCCAGUCUUCAGUAUCAUAGGAUCCUUCAGAAAUCAUUGGAUUUACAUCAGUUUUGUGUGCUGCCUCUUUCACUGGAAUGAAUGAAAUAUAUAUGAAUUGUUGAGUCAUUGUCUUCAGCCACAGGCUCCUUGUGAAACUCAGAAUCAAAGCGUUGAGUCUAAAAGCCUGUUCAUCCACCCACGCUUGUUCUUAUUAAACCUGAAACCUGCUCUUUGCAGCCAACAUCCCAAUCAAUGUGACACACACAAGCUGCAAGGUGUCAUACCAGAGUCUCCGGAGAUCAUCCACGCGUCACCGUCGGCUCCAUGCCACUGUUGAAUAUUUCAUGUCAACAAACAGGUCAGUAAAUGUAUGGGAUGGCCAGGCUACAGGAACAACGUGCUGACUCGGGCUGUGGACGAGAAACGAGAGUUUUCACGCAAGCCAAUCGCACAACAGAUUCUCUGAAACAAUAAUUCUCCCUCUUUGUUUGAGAAGGCAGCCGUCCAUCCACGCGCUCGUGGCCGCCGGAUUUACCGGAGGUGAUGGAAGUGAUCAGAGCUCCUGUUCUCACUCAUCACCGGUCAUGUCUCUGCUUUAGAUAAUCUGCUUUUUUGAUAAAAUAAUAACACGUAUACAAAUCUCCAGAUAAACUGAGUCGGUGCUUUUGUGCACGGCAGUUUCAAGGGAAAUAACGAUGUGGGAUUGGCCCAAUUACUCAAACAGAAGAUUCAAUUUAAAUGUAAAAUUAUAUCUGAGAGAUGGCCCAGCGCGUGUCAUUUGAAGAGCUCCUCGUAAACACAAGAAUAACUGGAAUUCCUAAUUAAAUGCAACACAGUGGAGAAAAGGAAAGGGGGGGAAACUGAUGCGUUUACAAGCGCCGCUAACCAAAAAUCCAUCAACAGAUGCUUUUCCUCAGAAUAAAGAUGAGGCUUCGGAAUAAUGACGUGAUUGGGAGGGAAGCGUCGGCGCGCGCUCGCCGUAUCUGACAGCAAGGUGAGAGACAGAUGGAAUAGGUGGUCUGUAACCAGAACCUCACGAGACUACUUGGAGAUUACCCCCCACCACGCAAACCAAUUGCAAAUUAUGGACAGCAAAUAAGACUGAAGCUGCAUUUUGCCAAUUAUUUUAGUUAACAUUUAGUAUCAGCUUCUAGACCAUUCCUUAAUGGUCAGAUAAUUGUCUAAAAAGUGUUAGCUUGCAAAUAAAAUAUCUGAUGUGUUGAUGGCAUGUAAAUUUGAGUUAAAUUGCUAUAGUAAAUGCUAAAAAUAAAAAUAAUGGGUUGUUUGAAGUAA